rnacentral:rRNA from 1 species
UGAGUAACACGUGGGGAACCUGCCCCUAAGUCUGGGAUACCAUUUGGAAACAGGUGCUAAUACCGGAUAAUAAAGCAGAUCGCAUGAUCAGCUUUUGAAAGGCGGCGUAAGCUGUCGCUAAGGGAUGGCCCCGCGGUGCAUUAGCUAGUUGGUAAGGUAACGGCUUACCAAGGCGACGAUGCAUAGCCGAGUUGAGAGACUGAUCGGCCACAUUGGGACUGAGACACGGCCCAAACUCCUACGGGAGGCAGCAGUAGGGAAUCUUCCACAAUGGACGCAAGUCUGAUGGAGCAACGCCGCGUGAGUGAAGAAGGUUUUCGGAUCGUAAAGCUCUGUUGUUGGUGAAGAAGGAUAGAGGUAGUAACUGGCCUUUAUUUGACGGUAAUCAACCAGAAAGUCACGGCUAACUACGUGCCAGCAGCCGCGGUAAUACGUAGGUGGCAAGCGUUGUCCGGAUUUAUUGGGCGUAAAGCGAGCGCAGGCGGAAAAAUAAGUCUAAUGUGAAAGCCCUCGGCUUAACCGAGGAACUGCAUCGGAAACUGUUUUUCUUGAGUGCAGAAGAGGAGAGUGGAACUCCAUGUGUAGCGGUGGAAUGCGUAGAUAUAUGGGAAGAACACCA